UGGGGGAUAUUGCACAAUGGGGGAACCCCUGAUGCAGCAACGCCGCGUGAAGGAAGAAGGUCUUCGGAUUGUAAACUUCUGUCCUCAGGGAAGAUAAUGACGGUACCUGAGGAGGAAGCUCCGGCUAACUACGUGCCAGCAGCCGCGGUAAUACGUAGGGAGCGAGCGUUGUCCGGAUUUACUGGGUGUAGAGGGUGCGUAGGCGGAUCUGCAAGUCAGUAGUGAAAUCCCAGGGCUUAACCCUGGAACUGCUAUUGAAACUGUGGGUCUUGAGUGAGGUAGAGGCAGGCGGAAUUCCCGGUGUAGCGGUGAAAUGCGUAGAGAUCGGGAGAACACCGUGCAGCGCUGCUGGGCCUUAACUGACGCUGAGGCACGAAAGCAUGGGUAGCAAACAGGAUAGAUACCC
rnacentral:rRNA from 1 species